rnacentral:rRNA from 1 species
CUUAUCAUUUAAAGGAAGGAAAAGUUGUAACAAGGUUUCCGUAGGU